AUCAGAUGAAUCUUUAUCACCUGAUUCUCCCAGCGGACAGUUCCCUCAGUUUACUUAUUCAGUGGAUGAAGUGGCAUCUCUUGAUAUCACCAGUUUCUCUUUUUGACCCUAGUGCUGGAAGAGAUGACUGUUUAGGAAAUUUUUGUUUCACAAGCUUGAGGAGAGAUCCCUGAAAAAGCCCAAGUGAAAGCAACGUGUAAAUUGUGCUUCAUCCUUGAAAACAAAGCAGCAGCACCUCUUUGUUCACCUUUCAUGUACCUCCUAAUAAGGUGGCUUAUAAAUCAGAUUUGCAACAACAGAAUUUGGAGGAGGCGUGUUUAAAUUGCCAGGUGUGAACUAUGCCCUGAAGUAUGACCAGAGGACCCUGCAGGAAGACACUUGCAGGGACUGUGGAGAGAUGAGGCCACUCCUCUGUGUGUGCAGCUGGGCUCAGUCAAGCCCCCAGAGUCUCCAGGAAGAAGAGCCAGCUCCAAAUCCUCAUUAUUCAGC